UGCUUGGUCCUCUGUUGGAGACUCUGCCUCCCCUAGAAUGGAUGUCCCGCCCUCUGCACGCGCAACAGUACACUCCCACAGUGCGUGGUGUGCUGUGUGUGGGUGUGCUCUGGUGCCAGACAGGGUGUAGGGGAGAGAUCUGGCAUCCUGUCUUUUGAGAGGAACCUCCUGAUACGACUCGUCCACUUGCUCGUCUGUGAGGCAGUCACCACGGGGGGCUUCCUAGAGAAAACCUGAAGUCGAGGCUUCCUCAUCGGAGUGUUACGGAUCACAUGUUUGGGGGCCCUGCGGUUCAGCAGCUCCCCAAAUGCAGGGAGCAGCAUGGUGAAGUCGAUGGGCCCUGGGACCUCAGUCAGCUCAUCCUCCAGCUGUUCACCAUGGGCUUCUCCCCUGGUGAGGCCAGCACGUGGUACAGGUCUGCUUGGUCAGUGAAGCCAUCACAGCUCUGGGCAAACCCAUGGAAGCCCUCCUUAAACUCCUGGGUUGCCUCUGGUCAAACAUCACAACGACAUUGGAUGUGGCCCACUUCCGGACAGCUUGGCUUCAGAGCCAUUGAAGCAUUUAAAAAAGGAGCACAAUUCUUUGAAAUCUAAGGAAAACUGGCCAUCAUCUCUCCAAGCCAAUUCCAAGUAUCAUAGGUAUAUCUCAAGUCAUAAUAAUUACUUCAUUUUGGCAAAACAUCAUCUAUCCUUGGCUUCUUUCUUUUCCUGGAAGGUCUUUGCUAAAGAACAGCCUCAGGAGCAAAGGAUGUAUGCUCAUAGGUAAGCUAGCUCCUUCUCACAGAAAAAACAACCAAGAAACAAA
rnacentral:lncRNA from 13 species